UAAAAAUUAGUUAAUUUAUAACAUAGGUUUGUCAAACCUAAGUUAUCAGACUAAUUCUGAUAUUUUUAA
rnacentral:tRNA from 1 species